AAUUGAGGACCCCUAUAUGGUACUUGUCACUACUGUGGAUGGCCCUGGGACCUAUAGCCCCACAGAGUCCCCCCUGGCCCUGUCCUCUACCGUGCCCAGCACUGUUGACGGCCCCUAUCAGUUACUGGUCACUACCGGUCAUCUGGCCCUGUCGUCCACCCUGCAGCCCCCUCCCCAGGAUAGCCUCCCCGUACCCAGCUUCCAGGAGGGCCGCCGAGCCUCCGACAUGGACACCGGCGCUCUAACACAAGGUCUGAGGGUGUUCCGCCAGAAGUUGAGGAUGGAGGCCAGCGCCAAGGGCCUGCUGGGACUGAACAAGAUGAAGAGCCCCGGGGUCCGGCACGGGUGGUCCCCCCCAGCCUCUGGCUCUGCACCCUGCCCCCCUGCCUGGGGGGGGCGAGACCUGUCCCACUGUGUCCCCACCACACCACUGUCAGAGGAAGGCUUCCAGCAGCAGAAAGUGAUCCAGAUUCCACUGUGCCAAUUCCACCCGACCACACCUCUUCCUCCACGCCACCCCACGUCUUCCUCCCCGCCACCACACCUCUUCCUGUCUCCUCCCGUCCCUCCUAACGUUCCCGCUCCUCCUCGUCCUCCCAUUGGUCUGUUCUCCACACACACACUGUCACAUGACUUCCUCACACCCUCCCUUCAACAGAACCACUCACCACACCCACAACUACACCCACACCCACAACUACACUCACAGCUACACCCACAGCCACAACUACACUCACAACUACACCCACAGACACAACUACACCAACAACUACAUUCACAACUACACCCACACUCACAACUACACCCACAACUACACCCACAGCCACAACUACACCCAC
rnacentral:lncRNA from 13 species